UUUCCGUAGGUGAACCUGCGGAAGGAUCAUUACCGAAUCGUCGACACGAGUUGUUGCUGGCCCUCAAACGGGGGCAUGUGCACGCUCUGUUUGCAUCCACCCACACCUGUGCACCCUCUGUAGCUCUGCGGUCCGGGGGACCCCCCUCUUCCGUCCGCGGUUCUACGUCUUACACACACACUGUAACACGGUUUUGUGGAAUGUACGCAGCGUUUAACGCAAUACAAUACAACUUUCAGCAACGGAUCUCUUGGCUCUCGCAUCGAUGAAGAACGCAGC
rnacentral:misc_RNA from 1 species